UUUCCUCUUAAAUCCGUCACCUGCUGAAGGGCAGAGGAAAGAACCUCCUGCACAGGAAGCACCGGAGAUUUGACUUUAAACUGGAAAGGGACAAAGUCCAAAUUCCUCCUUUAUCACAGCCCAGGUGAUGCAGAAUCCAGCAGUGCCCCUUCACCUGCCUUUAUUCUGAUCACAGGGGUGGGAAGGACAGGCCCUCAACACAUGGCAUUUUGUGGGAUGGUUCUGGGGUGGUUCCCCCAUGGUUUGGGCUGAUUCCCCUGGAUUUUGUGGAGUGGUUCCCUUGGAUUUUGUGGGGUGGUUCCCCCUGGAUUUUGUGGAGUGGUUCCCCCAUGGUUUGGGCUGAUUCCCCUGGAUUUUGUGGGGUGGUUCCCUUAGAUUUUGUGGGGUGCUUCCCCUGGCAGUGCUGUGCAGUUCCUUGGCUCCAUCCCCACCCCACCCUUUGGGAAGUGCUGCCCACCUGCAGCCCAGCACAUCCCUCUGCUCUCCCACCUUUCUGCUGGAAGCCAAAAUGUGGCCUUGGCCACCUAAUUAAACCAUAAAUAACUCUGACCUCCUUAAAUAUCUAUUUAAAAGUGAACGGCAAUGCUAAAAUGUGAAUUUCGUGGAGCCUGGAAGUACAGGGAAACAUUUAUCACAGAAAUAACAAGUUUUUAAGUUGUCUUUCCUUGUAAAAUGUGCUGGGAAGGAGGGGAUGUGACACUAAAGCCUCUGACAGACCCAAACAGGGCUGGUAUUGAGAGUUUUGAUGUGAAAAAAAUGAUGGAUUUUGGUGCAUCAGCAUCAGAAAAGCUUUCUUGGUGAAGGAAAUUGUGAAAUACUCUUUCUUGGGUUAAUCUUGGUGGGGGAUUUUUUUUCUGUUUUAUUAAUUCUCAACAAACAAAUUUGUCAGCAUCACUAAAGUCUGUAACUGCCUUGAUUAGUACAAAGAGAUUAAGAAAUGGUGUGAAAAGAACCUGAAUUCUGCCUUCAGGGCACUCGGGGGCUGUGGCAAGGUGAGGGUUAAGGGAAAUCUCCUUUUUCCCCGGUGCUGUGUGUCAGUCACAGAGCUGACCUGCAGUGAUGUAACACAAUAUGGACACCCAGGCUUUUACCAAAUGUCACUUUGAAACAAAGCAUGUGCUUUUAGAGAAAGUUGUUUGUUUUAACUGAGCCCAAAAUUAAGCAUUCAUCAUCUUGUCUCCUGUACAGCACAUUGUUCUAGUUUGGAAAAAAAAAUUGAAACUAAGCCAUAUGCUGAAAGGGGGAAAAUUCAGAAAAAUUUCCUCACUUUUCAUCCAGUCUGUGCCUCGAUUUUUUGAGCUUCAAGGGGAGGAAAAAUGUAAUUGCUGCAGACAGGGUAAAGAUGGUAGUUGCUAUUCCCAGUGCUUUACACAGAGUAGG
rnacentral:lncRNA from 1 species